rnacentral:rRNA from 1 species
UGGUGGAGCGAUUUGUCUGGUUUAUUCCGUUAACGAACGAGACCACAACCUACUAAAUAGUUCGCACUUGGGUUCGCUCAAGUCGUUGUGACUUCUUAGAGGGACUAUCGGUGUGUAGCCGAUGGAAGUUUGUGGCAAUAACA